UCGUUCAUUUCGUUGUAGAUGGUUGACGAAGAGUCAUGGUAGAGAUCAACCGAAGUUUAAAAUAAACCGUUACUGUUUUAAAGGUUUCUUUGUUUCAUUCAUCCACGCGAGUCCCGUGAAAAGCGAAAGCUUCUUAUAACGUGGAGACCACGAAAUAGCAAACAAUCUUAAAUAAUCUUAAACAAUCGUGAUUCCUGUGGAGGCGUCUCAGAACAUGUUUUGAGCUACCGACUUUCGUGAGGACUUCUCUUGAUGUCACUGAAACCAAAAUCCAAUAUCAACCAACAAAUUUGAUUUGGCCAACUGGAUCUCCUUAUAUUCUGCAAUGAUGGCAUUGCGAAAACAGACUUUGCUGCUAUUGUUUCUUUUAUGCAUUUACAAAUUUAGUGGCAUUGAAUGUUCAACUCCAGUUGUUCUGUGGCAUGGAAUGGGGGACAGUUGCUGUUUUUCGUUCAGCUUAGGAGCACUGAAGAAAUUGAUACAGACAACGUUACCUGAUACUUACGUUUACUCGAUUCGUUUAGGAAAUAAUGAAGUUGAGGAUGUGGAACACAGUUAUUUUGGAAAUGUAAACGAACAAAUAUCAGCAGUUUGUGAGCGACUAUCAAAGGAUGAACGUCUUAGAAAUGGGUAUAAUGCUAUUGGAUUCUCGCAAGGUGCACAGUUUCUAAGAGCAGUGAUUCAAAGAUGCCCUGAUCCGCCAGUUAUGAAUUUUAUUUCUAUGGGUGGUCAACAUCAAGGUGUUUUUGGAUUGCCAAAUUGCGGAAUUGUGGGACGCAAAGCUUGCAGCUAUAUGAUUCGCAUGAUAAAAUAUGGAGCAUACUUAAAGUUUGUUCAAGACAAAUUUAUUCAAGCUACAUACUGGCACGAUCCAUUUCAAGAGGAGGAAUAUAGAAAAAAAAGUACAUUUAUAUCUGACAUUAACAACGAACGUCAUAUUAAUCAGACUUAUAAAACUAAUCUUCAAAAGCUACAAUCCAUGGUAUUAGUGAAAUUCGAAAAUGAUACCAUAGUUUGGCCAAGAGAAACAGAAUGGUUCGGAUUUUAUACACCAGGACAAGCAACAAAAAUUCAGAAUCUCGAAGAAAGUGAUUUAUAUCGCGAAGUAUGAAACUAAAUAAUAUUGUAGCAUUAUAGAAGGUUUUUCAGAACAGAUUUUAGGAUGUUGUUUUUUAAUAACAAAAUGCACGGUGUAGUCGUUGCAACCACGAUCGUUUAGGAUUAAAAAUUCUACACGAGUCGGGAAAAGUGCAUUUUUUGUCUGUACCUGGUAAUCAUUUGCAAUUCGAAGAAAGUUGGUUUGUGGACAAUAUAAUCAAAGUGUACUUAAUGUAAAACAUAACAUAUAUAUAUAAUCCAUUUAAUAUAUUAUUGUUAUACAAUAUUUUGAUCAUAAUUGUAGCAAGUACUUUUAUACGAUCAAUAUUAUAUUUUAUUUACAUUCAUA